GACGAACGCUGGCGGCGUGCUUAACACAUGCAAGUCGAACGGAAAGGCCCUGCUUUUGUGGGGUGCUCGAGUGGCGAACGGGUGAGUAACACGUGAGUAACCUGCCCUUGACUUUGGGAUAACUUCAGGAAACUGGGGCUAAUACCGGAUAGGAGCUCCUGCUGCAUGGUGGGGGUUGGAAAGUUUCGGCGGUUGGGGAUGGACUCGCGGCUUAUCAGCUUGUUGGGGGGGUAGUGGCUUACCAAGGCUUUGACGGGUAGCCGGCCUGGGAGGGUGACCGGCCACAUAGGGACUGGGAAACGGCCCAGACUCAUACGGGCGGAAGCAGUGGGGAAUAUUGGAAAAUGGGCGGAAGCCUGAUGCAGCAACGCCGCGUGCGGGAUGACGGCCUUCGGGUUGUAAACCGCUUUCGCCUGUGACGAAGCGUGAGUGACGGUAAUGGGUAAAGAAGCACCGGCUAACUACGU
rnacentral:rRNA from 1 species